ensembl:lncRNA
UUUUUUUUUGACGUGUUCGACCGUGCCCUCCAGUGUCAACCCAUCGACUGCCUGAAACCCAUCAUCAUUCUGAGUCAGUUUGGGCAGAAAGACAGGUCCCCUCUAAAUUUGUCAGAGCUGUGUUACGAGAGGGGUGUUAGGUGCAUCAGCAUCCAUGCUGCUUGUGAAAUUGGCUCACUUAAUGAAAAUGUACACCACUUUUGGUCAAAGUAUGCUCUUGAGGAUUUAGUGGGAAAUAAAGGCUCAAUAUUUUGUGCUCUAUCACUGCGUGAAGCGCUAAACUUUCAGACCAACUUGGAUGGACAGUGCAUUGAAAUCAGCAAUGAGCUCUUAAGCACGGCCAGAUUUCCUAAGGACAUCACCUUUCUACAGCUUUAUGCAGACACGCCACAUAACAGACUGGAAAGUUGGUUCUCACAUCCAGUCUCUGGAGAAGUUGUCUGCUGCGGCCUCAUGCACCCAAUGACUACACGAGCCAUGUCGAAUCGAAGCGAGACCUAUUUCAAUCACAUGCAAGACCUUUUGCUAAAGCUCCAAGGCAUUGUCAAAGCAAGGAUUGAAAUAGUGACACUAUUCACGACUCAGCAGAUGAGCGGGAUUGUGAGAGCAGCAGACUUCUUCAAUGUCAGAGCGCUCACAAACCUGCUGGAGGACAAACCCAUGCUGCUACCUUUCGCGGAGGACCAGGCAAGAUUGACGUUCCUCAGCACCAUAAAGGACGUGCCCAGACAUCUGUUAGAGAGACUGCAAGCUGCCCAUGCCAGUGGAAAGCACAAGGGCAAAUUUAAGGAGUCUUGGGUGGCAUUUCAGGCUGAGAUGGCUUUAGAAGUGUUCUUCUGGGGCCGGCCAGGCAGCAUGUACGACACUAUUUUUGCUGUUAAUCUGGGCCCGGCUUUGGACAAUGAACGCAGUCUGACAUGGCAGAGAGGGAUUAUGGGUUUGGCACCCUUCAACACUGCAGCAGUUGACAUGACUCCACCACCACUUUCCUACUGGUCAAAGAAUCAUCUGCAGACCACAAGGAUACAACGCUUGUUUGGGUUUAUGGACAGCUUUGAGGCAGCAUACCCAGUCACUGGCACUGAGCUUUUGAAGUUAAUUCUCUGUGACCUCGGUGAGACUACCGAAGUGUCUGUUAUGAGUCUAGCAAACAUCAGUCCUCCAGCACACUGCAAGUGCACUGGCACUAUCAGCAGAGAACAGCUCUUAGAGGAGUUGGUGGAGAAAAUAAAAAGGUUCACGUACCCAUCCACAGCCAAAAGAGCAGCUGAACUCUUAGAAGAGCAUGGCAAGCCUCUAAGAGACAUCCUGAGAUCAGCUUUGGCAUUCACUGGCAUUCAGUACUUUCCAGCUAUGAAAGUGAUUGACUCGGCUCGCAAUCCAAAAGUAUCUUGGAACAAAAAAGACAUGCUCAAUGUUUUGGCACCACAACAGAACCCUAGCCUAGAUGCAAUAGCUGCAGCAGUGGAGGGUGACGUAAUUGUCAACUUAGUGAGCCGUGGACUUACAUAUGAACGAAAUCUUGCAUCAGCGAAAGCCAAUGGAAUGCCCUGGAUGAAAGAUGUGCUGGCACGCUUGAAACAGGAGAACUUAGACCGAACACAGUUGGUCCAGGUGUGCACUUUUGUCAGCUGUCUUGCACUGCUGAAACAAAGCAUUUACAUUGACUACGGCAAAUUGGCAAUGUUGGCAUCUUUACUUCCAGUUUCCCAGCAUAAACUUAAAAUGCUGCAAAUACAGGGUCCUAUAUUGUUUGAAGGAUUCGUAAAUCCCAAAAUAUGGAGAUUGCACCAUUCCAUACCCUUCAAAAUUGCUCCAAUCAUUACACAGAAGCCAAAAGUUCCCCAGAAAGUACACUGGCAUGAUGCUGGUGGAGAAGAACUUCAGCCAGAAGAAGAGAUGGAGGAAGAGCAUGAACAGGAAGUCAUUUCACAUACUCCUUCAAUGGUUUUACCUGCUGGAAUGACAAGACGAUGGACAUCAAGGGAAUUGGAUCUUGCUUAUCAAGCAAGGAUGAAAAGCGGCAGCUCUGUCAAUUCAGCAUACAGAGUUUAUGUUGACCUGUGUUUUCAAGCUGACAUACCAUGCCGUUCCCUGAAUGCCUUUAAAUGCAAGAUAAGGCAACAACUUUAACUGAACACCUUUUCCUUGUCACAACUGAGAAUGUUCAGAAACAUUUUAAAGGCUUUAUUUUCAGCCAUAUUUCAAACAUUGUGUAAUUGUGGAUGCUUUGUUUUGACUCUGUUUUGUCUUUAGAUUUAGUUUAUUAGCCUUAUUCAGUUCACCUGCAUCAUCAAUAUUUUAAAUAUAUAUAUAUAUAUAUAUGUCAAAUAAUUAAGGCCAAAAUCCAACAUUACAUAUAUACUUUUUUUUUUUUUUUAUAUACAAAAAAAGGCAGAUGAACGAACUCUGCGAUGAUCCUUUCCAGAGGCGUCUGGGAGGAGGAUUAAAGCAACGUUCAAGCAAUACCUUGUAGAAAAAAUGUUAAAAAAUCAUGUGAAAAAGCUCAU